CGGUGGAGCAUGUGGUUUAAUUCGAAGCAACGCGAAGAACCUUACCUGGGUUUGAAAUGUAGUGGUAAGCCUCAGAGAUGGUCCUCGCCGCAAUAGGUGUGACGAGCGCAACCCUUGUCCAUAGUUGCUAACGGGAUGUCAAGUCUCAUGGCCUUUAUGUCCAGGCUACAUACAUGGACGGUACAAGGGUCGCAAAACCGCGAGGUGGAGCUUCCCAAAAAGCCGUUCUCAGUUCGGAUUGCUCUGCAACUCGAGAGCAUGAAGCUGGAAUCGCUAGUAAUCGGGAUCAGAACGCCGCGGUGAAUACGUUCCCGGGCCUUGUACACACCGCCGUCACAUCACGAAAGUCGGUUGCACUAGAAGUCGGUGGGCUAACCCGCAAGGGGGGCAGCCGCCUAAAUGUGAUCGGUAAUUGGGGUGAAGUCGUACAAGGU
rnacentral:rRNA from 1 species